AAAGGAAUAGACGGGGACCCACACAAGCGGUGGAGCAUCUGGUUUAAUUCGAUAAUAAGCGAGGAAUCUUACCUAGGCUUGACAUCCCGAGAAUCCUGCAGAAAUGCGGGAGUGCCUUCUGGAACUCGGUGACAGGUGCUGCAUGGUUGUCGUCAGCUCGUGCCUUGAGGUGUUCGGUUAAGUCCGUGAACGAGCGCAACCCAUGUCCUAUGUUGUUAUUUCAUAGGAGACUGCCGAUUCAAAGUCGGAGGAAGGUAUGGAUGACGUCAAAUCAGCAUGGCCCUUAUGCCUAGGGCUACACAGGUGCUACAAUGGUCGGUACAAUGGGCAGCAAUGUGGUAACACUGAGCCAAUCCCCAAAGCCGAUCUAAGUUCGAAUUGAGGGCUGAAACUCGCCCUCAUGAAGUUGGAAUCGCUAGUAACUGCGGAUCAGCAAUGUCGCAGUGAAUAUGUUCCUGGGUCUUGUACACACCGCCCGU
rnacentral:rRNA from 1 species